GAUGAACGCUGGCGGCGUGCCUAAUACAUGCAAGUCGAGCGAACGGACGAGAAGCUUGCUUCUCUGAUGUUAGCGGCGGACGGGUGAGUAACACGUGGAUAACCUACCUAUAAGACUGGGAUAACUUCGGGAAACCUGAGCUAAUACCGGAUAAUAUUUUGAACCGCAUGGUUCAAAAGUAAAAGACGGUCUUGCUGUCACUUAUAGAUGGAUCCGCGCUGCAUUAGCUAGUUGGUAAGGUAACGGAUUACCAAGGCAACGAUGCAUAGCCGACCUGAGAGGAUGAUCGGCAACACUAGAACUGAGACACGGUCCAGACUCCGACGGGAGGCAGCAGUAGGGAAUCUUCCGCAAUGGGCGAAAGCCUGACGGAGCAACGCCGCGUGAGUGAUGAAGGUCUUCGGAUCGUAAAACUCUGUUAUUAGGGAAGAACAUAUGUGUAAGUAACUGUGCACAUCUUGACGGUACCUAAUCAGAAAGCCACGGCUAACUACGUG
rnacentral:rRNA from 1 species